rnacentral:rRNA from 1 species
AAGCUCGCGAGAGUAAGCUAAUCUCUUAAAGCCGUUCUCAGUUCGGACUGUAGGCUGCAACUCGCCUACACGAAGUCGGAAUCGCUAGUAAUCGCGGAUCAGCAUGCCGCGGUGAAUACGUUCCCGGGUCUUGUACACACCGCCCGUCACACCAUGGGAGCCGACAACGCCCGAAGUCAGUGACCUAACCGAGAGGGAGGAGCUGCCGAAGGCGGGGUUGGUAACUGGGGUGAAGUCGUAACAAGGUAUC